rnacentral:rRNA from 1 species
GAUGAACGCUGGCGGCGUGCCUAAUACAUGCAAGUCGAGCGAACACACGAGGGGCUUGCUCCUCUGACGUUAGCGGCGGACGGGUGAGUAACACGUGGAUAACCUACCUAUAAGACUGGGAUAACUUCGGGAAACCGGAGCUAAUACCGGAUAAUAUAUUGAACCGCAUGGUUCAAUAGUGAAAGACGGUUUUGCUGUCACUUAUAGAUGGAUCCGCGCCGCAUUAGCUAGUUGGUAAGGUAACGGCUUACCAAGGCAACGAUGCGUAGCCGACCUGAGAGGGUGAUCGGCCACACUGGAACUGAGACACGGUCCAGACUCCUACGGGAGGCAGCAGUAGGGAAUCUUCCGCAAUGGGCGAAAGCCUGACGGAGCAACGCCGCGUGAGUGAUGAAGGUCUUCGGAUCGUAAAACUCUGUUAUUAGGGAAGAACAAAUGUGUAAGUAACUAUGCACGUCUUGACGGUACCUAAUCAGAAAGCCACGGCUAACUACGUG